AAAAAAGUAAAUGUUGCACUAAAAAGUAAUUUUUUAAUUUUUAUUUUAUGUUCGGGGAUACACGUGCAGGUUUGUUAUAUAGGUAAACUCAUGUCAUGGGGGUGUGUAUACAGAUUAUUUUAUCACCCAUGGACUAAGCCUAGUACACAAUAGUUAUUUUUUCUGUUCCUCUCCCUUCUCCCAUCCUCCACCCUCCAGCAGGCCCCAGUGUCUGUCGUUCCCCUUUUUGUGUCCAUGUAUACUCAUUAUUUAGUUCCCACUUAUAAGUGAGAAAAUGCGGUGGUUGGUUUCAUAUUCCUGUGUGAGUUUGCUAAGAAUAAUGGUCUCCAGCUCCAUCCAUGUCCCUGCAAAGGACAUGAUCUCAUUCUUUUUAUGUCUUCAUAGUAUUUCAUGGUGUAUACAUAGUACAUUUCGUUUAUCCAGUCUACCAUUGAUGGGUAUUUAGGUUGACUCCACGUCUUUGCUAUUGUGAAGAGUGCUACAGUGAACUUACAUGUGCAUGUGUCUUUUUGACAGAAUCAUUUGUAUUCCUUUGGGUAUAUAUCCAGUAGUGAGAUUGCUGGGUUGAAUGGUAGUUUGGUUUUUAGCUCCUUGAAGAAUCACCACACAGCUCUCCGCAGUGGUUGAACUACUUUCCACUCCCACCAGCAGUGUAUAAGCGUUCUCUUUUCUCUGCAUCUUCGUCAGCCUCAGCAUUUGCUAUUUUUUGACUUUGUAAUAAUAGCCAUUCUGACUGGUGUGAGAUGGUAUCUCAUUGUGGUUUUGAUUUGCAUUUCUCUAAUGGUCAGUGAUGUUAAGCUUUUUUUUUUCACAUGCUUUUUGGCCGCCUGUAUGUAUGCCUUGUCUUGAAAAAUGUCUUAAUGGGAUUGUUUGUAUAUUUUAGAUAAAUUUGUUUAAGUUCCUUAUAGAUGCUGGAUAGUAGACCUUUGUCAGAUCCAUAGUUUGUAAAUACUUUCUCCCAUUCUAUAGGUUUACUAUUUACUCUGAUGAUAGUUUAUUUUGCUGUGCAGAAGCUCUUUUGUUUAAUUAGAUCCCAUUUGUCAAUUUUUGUUUUUGUUGUCAUUGCUUUUGGCGUCUUCAUCAUGAAAUCUUUGUCCAUUCCUAUGUCCAGAAUGGUAUUGCCUAGCUGGUCUUCUGGGGUUUUUAUAGUUUUUGGUUGUAACUUAAAUCUUUAAUCCAUCUUGAGUUGACUUUUGUGUAUGGUGUAAGGAAGGGGUCUAGUUUCCAUCUUCUGCAUAUGGCUAGCCUGUUAUCCCAGCACCAUUUAUCGAAUAGAGAGUCCUUUCUCCAUUGCUUGUUUUUGUCAGCUACAUUGAACACCAAAUUGUUGUAGAUGUGUGACCUUAUUUCUGGGCUCUCUACUCUGGACCAUUGGUCUAUGUGUCUGUAUUUGUACCAGUACCAUCCAGUACCAUGCUGUUUUGGUUAUUAUAGCCCUACAAUAUAGUUUGAGUCAGGUAGUGUGAUGCCUCCUGCUUUGUUCUUCAUGCUUAGGAUUGCCUUAAAUAUUUGGACUCUUUUGGUUCCGUAUGAAUUUUAAAGCAAAACUUUCUAUUUCUGUAAUGAAUGUCUUUAGUAGUUUGGUAGGAAUAGCAUUGAAUCUGUAAAUUGCUUUGGGCAGUAUCACCAUUUUAAUGAUAUUGAUUCUUCUUAUCCAUGAUCAUGGAAUUUUUUUCAUUUGUUGAUGUUAUCUGUGAUUUGUUUGAGCAGUGCUUUAUAAUUCUCAUUGUAGAGAUCUUUCUGUGCUCGCUUCACUAGCACAUACACAAACAUUGGAACAGUAUGGAGAAGAUUAGCAUGGCUCCUGCACAAGGAUGAGAUCUUUCUCUUCCCUAGUUAACUGUAUUCCUAGAAAGUUUCAGAAAGGUGAUGAAAUUUAAGCUGGGCUUUAAAGGCUACAUCAAAUUUGACAAAUGGAAUUGUGAGGAAAGCACAUUAGAAGUAAAGAGUGAACCCACAAAAACAAGAGAACAUCAUGUUUCUAGAGGCUGCCUGCAUUCCUUGGCUAAUGACUUUGCAUCACUCUGACGUCUUGCUCCCAUGGUCGUAUCACCUACUACUGGCCCUGAUCUCACUACUUGUUGUAAGGAUUGGUGUGAUUACAUCAGCGCUUUUGCACUUGCUCUCACCUCUGCCUGGAAUAUUCUACCUCCAGAUAUUCACAUGCUUGGAUUUCCAAGUGCAUUCCAGUUUACGAUUAUGUAUUAUCUGACCGCAGGUCUUCUCUGAGCACCCCGUGAGAUACGGCAACCUCUCCUGUCAAUCACCCACCCCUUAUCUUGCUUUGCUAUUUUUCAUAGCACAUUAUGUCCAUCUGAAAUAGUAUGUAUUUGUUUGCUUGACGUCUUUCCCCCACUUUGAGAACAGUGUUUUGUUCACUGUUAUGUCCCUAGCACUAGAAUAGUUUCUGACACAGAGGUAAACUCAAGUAUUAAUUUUUAAAUAAUAAAUGAAAGA
rnacentral:lncRNA from 10 species